AACGAACGCUGGCGGCAGGCUUAACACAUGCAAGUCGAGCGCCCCGCAAGGGGAGCGGCAGCCGGGUGAGUAACGCGUGGGAACGUACCUGUUGGUUCGGAACAACUCCGGGAAACUGGAGCUAAUACCGGAUAAGCCCUAACGGGGAAAGAUUUAUCGCCGAAAGAUCGGCCCGCGUCUGAUUAGCUAGUUGGUGAGGUAACGGCUCACCAAGGCGACGAUCAGUAGCUGGUCUGAGAGGAUGAUCAGCCACACUGGGACUGAGACACGGCCCAGACUCAUACGGGAGGCAGCAGUGGGGAAUAUUGGACAAUGGGCGCAAGCCUGAUACAGCCAUGCCGCGUGAGUGAUGAAGGCCUUAGGGUUGUAAAGCUCUUUUGUCCGGGAAGAUAAUGACUGUACCGGAAGAAUAAGCCCCGGCUAACUUCGUG
rnacentral:rRNA from 1 species